rnacentral:rRNA from 1 species
CCUACGGGAGGCAGCAGUGGGGAAUAUUGGUCAAUGGGCGCAAGCCUGACCCAGCAACGCCGCGUGAGGGAAGAAGGCUUUCGGGUUCUAAACUUCUUUUAUCCGGGGCGAAACAAAUGACGGUACCUGAUGAAUGAGCCAAGGCUAACUACGUGCCAGCAGCCGCGGUGAUACGGAGGUGGCAAGCGUUAUCCGGAUGUACUGGGUGUAAAGGGCGUGUAGGCGGGCUUGCAAGUCAGAUGUGAAAUUCCAGGGCUCAACCCUGGAACUGCAGUUGAAACUGGAGGUCUUGAGUGCUGGAGAGGCAAGCGGAAUGCCGGGUGUAGCGGUGAAAUGCGUAGAUAUCCGGAGGAACACCAGUGGCGAAGGCGGAUUGCUGGACACUAACUGACGCUGAGGCGCGAAAGCGUGGGGAGCAAACAGGAUUAGAUACCCGAGUAGUC